UACGUAGGGACCAAGCGUUGUUCGGAUUUACUGGGCGUAAAGGGCGUGUAGGCGGCAUGACAAGUCACUUGUGAAAGCUCUGGGCUUAACCCAGAACGGCCAAGUGAUACUGUCGCGCUAGAGUGCGGAAGGGGCAAUCGGAAUUCUUGGUGUAGCGGUGAAAUGCGUAGAUAUCAAGAGGAACACCUGAGGUGAAGACGGGUUGCUGGGCCGACACUGACGCUGAGUGCGCGAAAGCCAGGGGAGCAAACGGG
rnacentral:rRNA from 1 species